rnacentral:rRNA from 1 species
UACGAAGGGGGCUAGCGUUGCUCGGAAUCACUGGGCGUAAAGGGUGCGUAGGCGGGUUUUUAAGUCAGGGGUGAAAUCCUGGAGCUCAACUCCAGAACUGCCUUUGAUACUGAAGAUCUUGAGUCCGGGAGAGGUGAGUGGAACUGCGAGUGUAGAGGUGAAAUUCGUAGAUAUUCGCAAGAACACCAGUGGCGAAGGCGGCUCACUGGCCCGGUACUGGCGCUGAGGCACGAAAGCGUGGGGAGCAAACAGG